GAGUCUUACUCCAUCUACUAUGUUACUAUGUUGCUACAUAGUACAUAUAUUCUCUUCCUCUACUUCUCAACUGUACUAAGAUCGACAUACCAGUUUCCAUCAGGUUCAUACAGCCUUUCGCUUCUACUAACUCAAACACUUUGUUUGUAAAUUUUAAAUAAUGACAAAUAUUUAACUUGAAUUUCCCGGAUAAUUAUUUUACUUAUAAAUAAAUUAUUAUAUUAUGUUAUGUUAUAUUAUGCACGUGUUUGAAUUAAAAUUUUCGAUUAAUUUCUGUAUGUUCCCGCUGCGCGUAAUAUUGUUGUUCGUAGCACUGUGAACUGUGAAUUAAACUCCGGAUGCUCUCGAUGAAUUCCCGGCAAUGUAUAUACGCGUUGAUGUUAAUCACUCGUGGAUUAUAUCAGAGCAAAGAGGAACACGGACCCUCUAUAUUGACACAGAGAAGAGAAACUCCAUUCCCAAGCUAACUCAAUGACAAACAGUUGUCUUGGUAUCCACAGAUACCAUCAGAUAAAUUUUUAACGUACAAUCAAUGUUUAAUUUUCAUUUCAACUAAAUUCACUAUGUCAUUUCAGUGUUUAUUUGUUUGGAAAAGUUGUAUAGCACAUCUCAUGAUAUCUUUUCUUUUGUAAUAAACUAUUCAAAAUAAAUAAUAAAAAAAAAAAAGAUUUGUAAAU